rnacentral:tRNA from 2 species
GGUUCUUUAGUUCAGAAGGAUAGAACAUUUGCCUCCUAAGCGAAAACCGCUGGUUCGAGUCCAGCAAGAACCA